GAAGGAUUACGCUGUCGAGGCCCCACAAGGGCUAAGAGGGAAGCCGGUGAAAGGCCGGCACGGUAGCGCCGCUGUAACUGGGGAGCGAAGCUCCAUUCAUCCACUGACAACAGUCGGGAAGGAGGAGCCGAGCCGGGAUCCAGGAGUCAGAAGACCUGCCUCGGAUAGCGCCAGAAA
rnacentral:ncRNA from 2 species